rnacentral:lncRNA from 1 species
GUUGUCUUUCAGGAAUUGCCAACCCGUGUUCAGAGUAAUUCUUGUACCUCUUAAGAAGAUUGGUUUAUUUCUAUGCCAAACAGCUGCUUUACUCAAAAUAGAGUGGCAGACCCAUAAUAAUCUCUCAGAUCAUAUUUUUUGAACAAGUAACCUACCCCCUUUGCAUCCUCCCUCUGACCUGUUCAUUGAAGCAGCAUAAUUUUUACUGAGAGCAUUCACCCGAACCUUUGUUUUUAGGUGUGUGAUAAAGUAGUUGUGGUGGUGUGGAUGUAUGGGGUGAAGUCUGCAUCACUCCAUUAUGCUCGUGUUCAUGUCUUAGCUUCUCCAAAGGCCACUGCUUCUCCUUCAGUGUGUUCACAGCCUGUACAGUGAUCCCGAAAGUUUCAGGGGAUGAGGGGAAGAUGGCAACUGAGACACGGGGGAACAGGUUUUUCAGGGAAUCAGUAGGCAUCAGGCAUAUGAUUAGUACAGCCCAAGUUUGUCAUCACCCAGCUGUAUCAACCCUCUUCCCCAAGAAAAAGAAUUGACUCACAUGUUCUACAGUUAGCUCCUCAGAGAGAAUGAACUCAUCAAAGCAAAAAGAGGUAUGAAUCACACUCAGUUGCCCUCCAGUGACUCGAAGACACAGAGAAACAUAGAUAGAUAAAGGGCAUUUACUUGUAAAGGUGUGUGUGGUUAGGAAAAGGGGUAUUAUAAAGGGUACUGCAGUGCUCACUCAAACUGUCUUCUCCCCCACCAAAUUACCAUGUUAUCUGACACCCUCAAUCUAUUUGUGUCCUGGGUAACAGACAGUUUGACCAAGAGGUCAUAGACUAGAGGGCUUGGGUGAUUGGAAACAAGUUUGACAAGAAAGGAAUCUGGGUGGGGUGCCACAGUGGAGGUGGAGAGAGGAUGAGGCCACAGUGGCUGGAGCAGCCUGGCCAUCCCAAGUCUCUGCUGGACCCUGCAUUCACACACCACGCCUUUGUCAGAGAACAGGGGAAUAGGAAGAGCUAUCAAUAAGGCUUCUUGGAUGUGAGCAAUUUAAGUACCUCUCCACACGCCUCUUCUUCACCUGUCCUUUAUUUCCUGCCUUCUUCAUGUCCUCCUUUUUGCCCUUCUCCCAUCUCAGGAACCUCUUUCCAGAUUGCUGGCUACUCCUGGAUUGUCCUCUGCUUUUCCCCCGCUGUUGAAUUAAGGCUUCAGAUU